GAUGAACGCUGGCGGCGUGCCUAAUACAUGCGAGUCGAGCGAAUGGAUUAAGAGCUUGCUCUUAUGAAGUUAGCGGCGGACGGGCGAGUAACACGUGGGUAACCUGCCCAUAAGACUGGGAUAACUCCGGGAAACCGGGGCUAAUACCGGAUAACAUUUUGAACCGCAUGGUUCGAAAUUGAAAGGCGGCUUCGGCUGUCACUGAUGGAUGGACCAGCGUCGCAUUAGCUAGUUGGUGAGGUAACGGCUCACCAAGGCAACGAUGCGUAGCCGACCUGAGAGGGUGAUCGGCCACACUGGGACUGAGACACGGCCCAGACUCCUACGGGAGGCAGCAGUAGGGAAUCUUCCGCAAUGGACGAAAGUCUGACGGAGCAACGCCGCGUGAGUGAUGAAGGCUUUCGGGUCGUAAAACUCUGUUGUUAGGGAAGAACAAGUGCUAGUUGAAUAAGCUGGCACCUUGACGGUACCUAACCAGAAAGCCACGGCUAACUACGUGCCAGCAGCCGCCGCCG
rnacentral:rRNA from 1 species